rnacentral:rRNA from 1 species
GGCCACAGCCAUAUCACCCUGCAGCCCAAGACUGGUUACUCACUGAAGCUUAGCAGGACUGAGCCUGGUCAGUACCUGAAUAGGAGACCACACGGGAAAGCUAGGUUGCUGUUGGAA